rnacentral:rRNA from 1 species
GUAGGUGGCAAGCGUUGUCCGGAAUUAUUGGGCGUAAAGCGCGCGCAGGCGGGGUCCUUUAAGUCUGAUGUGAAAGCCUGCGGCUCAACCGUGGAGGGUCAUUGGAAACUGGGGGACUUGAGUACAGAAGAGGAAAGCGGAAUUCCAAGUGUAGCGGUGAAAUGCGUAGAGAUUUGGAGGAACACCAGUGGCGAAGGCGGCUUUCUGGUCUGUAACUGACGCUGAGGCGCGAAAGCGUGGGGAGCAAACAGGAUUAGAUACCCUGGUAGUCCACGCCGUAAACGAUGAGUGCUAAGUGUUAGGGGGUUUCCGCCCCUUAGUGCUGCAGCUAACGCAUUAAGCACUCCGCCUGGGGAGUACGGCCGCAAGGCUG